CUCUCUUCCACAUUUCAACUUUCCUCAACAGCAGUGCUGUUAACACAAGGGCAUACUAAUCUCCUGAGACUCUGCCUCCUGUCUGUCACCCACAGGUAGAAUUGCUGGCUAAGACAAUACUUUUUAUUUACUUACUUACUUUUGGAGGAAUCUUCAUAUUGUCUCUCACAGUGACUGAGCCAUUUUACAUUUCUCCACAUAUUUAUCAGCGGCUUCCAUGCUGACGAUGUUCUUUUAACAGUAGCUAUCUUCAAUUAAAAAGCGCUCCAGCCGUGUUAGUUACCAAGAAGGUAGAAGAACGGAAGCGAAGGAAACAGACAGCAGAAGAGAGCUUGAAGAUGUAUAGUGUUCAGUCAAGGUGUGAGGAGGACUCACCUGUCCAUUGAGGAAGUAAAUUUUAAAAUCACAAGAGGGGGUGAAGCCAAAGCUAAAAUGCCUCCCAGGGCUAGGUGUUGGAGAGGAUAGGUAGGCUCCCUCGGUGAGCUUGCAGACACUAUGGCUGAAGAAGUACACCCAGUUCUACUCCUGCACCGCAAGCCAACAGCGUUGUUCCCAGGCCGUGCAAGACCAUGAGGAAAUGCAUGACAUAACUGUGUUUACGCUUGAGCUUUCGGGUUGCAAGCCUUGGCCCUUGACAACCCCGACAAGCUACAUUUAACCGCCCACCUAGGGAAAAGCGGAGAAAGAUUUACUCAACCACACGUGGAAGAAAAAUGAGCAAAGGGUCCAGAAACCCCAGAAUCCCAGUUUCCACGCUGUUAUUUUUCCCUCCGUGCUUUAAACUUCUCCUCCAAAUGGUUAAAUGCAUUCCAGACGCUAAAAGGAGACCACCAUUACGGCUGAAGGGCCUGAACGAACCAUACGUUGUUUGGUGAGGUGGGUGUGCCUGGGAAGAGCCAACACUGAGGCACGUGACCAUUGGCUUUUACUCUAACUCAGGAGCUGGCUGUGUCCUUUCCCCACUGGCUGGGGACUGACCUCACGAUCUUAUUUACUUGGCUCCUCUGAGGAGAGACAUAGAGGACAGGAACAGAAAGAGGAAGGGAGAAAAAGGUCACUACUCCAGGCCAUCAAAUUCCCAGAAAAGAGCAGUGGGCCUUACUUUGUGUGAACAAAGGCUGACCUGGCGAGGAUGAUGAACACACUUACGUCAAAAUCUUACAAGGCUCAUGCGUUUAUGUGGAAGGAGGAGACAGAAAGAUUGUAAGAGCCAGAGGCCCUGGAUGAUUCCAAGGAGACAGCGUCUUCAGGGGACAACAAAACUGAUAAAGCCAUCUGGAGAGAUCAGAAGUUUAUGCCUAAGACCUGCACAGGUUCAAGCUAGGUGUGGUACCAGCACGGACAGGGGAAGCAGUCGUGAGUUUUCAUCCCUAACUAGGAAGCUGUGGGCAUUUGAUACCUGCUGGGAAAGGGAUAAUCAGUUUUCUCUAAUGCAGUGUCCUUGUAUAUAUCCACCAUACGCUAGGGUAGGCCCCAACCGGUAUUCGUUGGCCAACACAAAAGGGCUCCAUGUUUUUCUGCACAUGUUUUGAUUGGUGUGUGUUUUGAUUCACUAUAAAAGGGGAUGCUCACCCAGUAAUGGGGCCUGGAAAGAUGGGUCAACAAUUGAGCUGCUCCUGCAGACAACCUCAGUUCAGCUUUCAGCACCUACACAGUAGCUCACGACUAUCUAAGCCACCAGUUCCAAUGAGUCUGACCCCACCCCCACCCCCCGGGCCUCCACAGGCACAGGGCACAUAUGUGGUUCACAAACAUACAAACAGGCAAAGCACUCAUAUGCAUAAAACAAAGAUAAACAAUUCUUUCCAAAAAAUUAAAAUGUUUGAGUAGUAAUUAAAACAUUGAAAGCCAGAUGACUUGUUAUACUAAUGGAAUUUCUUCUUGCUCUGAUCUCCUGGGCUGGCUUCCUCCAAGUGACCAACUGUGACUUGGGAUAUAGAAUAUUAAUAAACCUCUUCUUCUCCAGGUU